UACAGGGGGUGCAAACGUUGCUCGGAAUCACUGGGCGUAAAGGGUGCGUAGGCGGGUCUUUUAAGUCAGGGGUGAAAUCCUGGAGCUCAACUCCAGAACUGCCUUUGAUACUGAGGAUCUUGAGUUCGGGAGAGGUGAGUGGAACUGCGAGUGUAGAGGUGAAAUUCGUAGAUAUUCGCAAGAACACCAGUGGCGAAGGCGGCUCACUGGCCCGAUACUGACGCUGAGGCACGAAAGCGUGGGGAGCAAACAGG
rnacentral:rRNA from 1 species